UAAAGAUUUUGAAGCGGUAUUAUUACAGACACCAUCCAUGCACUAGAUAAUUGUAUUCCCAGAAGUCCUGGACAGAGUUGACCGGGACCCCAAAUACAGCAACCAUCAACCGAAGAUCAAUCACCUCAUGAACUUGAUGUCAUGUAAUUUUUUGUAUAAUACCGCAAAUCCUCAGAAAAAUUAAUGGAAAAAUUAAAAAAACAUGCAAAUAGUCAAAUAUUAAAAAAAUACCGCAGCUACUGAUUAACCGUUACUUUAGAAAUGGGUUUUUUCAUGUUGUACCUUUUUAAUAAAAAUUAGUUGAAAACGAUCACUUGUGUGUAACUAUUCAUCAGAAUGGCAUCGCGAAAUGUGCUCCUCUUAAAAGAAAAAAUGGAAAUAAUAAAUUUCCAAGAAAAAUAUAAAAAUUCUGUUCGUGAUAUUGCAAAGAGGUUUAACAAUGGAAAAACGCAAUCUGCACCAAUUAUCAAAAAUACAGAAGACAUCAUAGCUAAAAGUCUUCUAUUAGACUUAUAAGACUCUUUUUUCGAGCCAUGACUGACAAAAAGUUGGCUCUAAAAUCAGAGAAAUGUUUUUUUUGCAUCAAUAUGGUUGCACAAAAAAAAGCUAUUAUUUUUUAGAAAAGCGGCCCACCCGAGAGCUUUUAAACACAUACAAAUUGCCGAUUUACUAGUCGAUUGGAAAUUGAACAAAAAGGCGUGGAUGACAACAGAAAUUAUGUCAGAGUGGUUACAACUUGACACAAAAAUUAAAUCUCGCAACAGGAAUAUUAUUUUAUUUUUAGAUAUUGCUGUCUCUCAUUUCAGAGAUAUCUGCCCAACAAAUAUACUUUAGAGUCUACCUCCAGAUGCCAUAUGCCAGCCCUUGGAUCAGGGCAUAAUACAAAAUUUCAAAGUCAUAUAUAGAAACUUCAUUAUAAAAGAUAUGCUAUCAAAUAUGGACACAGCUAAAUCCGCAUCAGAAUUAUCAAAAAAAAUAUUCUCGAUGCUCUGUUUUGUUAAAGCUUUUUGGGACAAAAUUGAAGCGUCAUACAUAGAAAACUGUUUCCGAAAAUCUGGAUUUAUACAAAAUUCGAAUAUCGAACUGUUUGAGCUUGAGAAUGAUAUUCUGUUAGCAACGCUCUUUAAUUUAAACGAAAUUGCGCAACUUAGUGCCUUUAUACUUAUGUAUUAGAGGAUUAAUUUAAAUAUUGAUAACGUUGCAUACGCAGAAAAUCACAGUAUUGAAAUUGAUUAUGAAGGCGUUACUACUCGUAGUACUGGGAGGAUUUAAGUGAUUCUGAUGAGGAGGUAGCUGUGGAAGACACGGAUCUAAUUAAUAAUAAUCAUGAAGAAUUCAAAUCAAUUUUUCGCUUGAAAACGUUGCUAAAAGUGAUGUUGCAUAUCAACUACUAACGUCUUUAGAGAUUCGUCUUGUGGAAAAUGAGAAAAAAUGGAAGCAAACCAACCUAAAGCAAUCAACAAUCCGUAAAUUUUUUCAGCAACAAAACUAAUUUUAAAUUUUGUAUAUGUACUAAUAUCUAAUACUAAUACUAAUAUCUAAUACUUAUUUUCA
rnacentral:lncRNA from 1 species